GCCUACGGGGCGCAGCAGUGAGGAAUAUUGGUCAAUGGGCGGGAGCCUGAACCAGCCAAGUCGCGUGAGGGAAGACGGUCCUAUGGAUUGUAAACCUCUUUAGGCGGGGAGCAAUGCCGGGCACGCGUGCCCGGAGGGAGAGUACCCGCAGAAUAAGCAUCGGCUAACUCCGUGCCAGCAGCCGCGGUAAUACGGAGGAUGCGAGCGUUAUCCGGAUUUACUGGGUUUAAAGGGUGUGUAGGUGGUUAAUUAAGUCAGCGGUGAAAGUUUGUGGCUCAACCAUAAAAUUGCCGUUGAAACUGGUU
rnacentral:rRNA from 1 species